UACGUAGGGUGCAGGCGUUACUCGGAAUUACUGGGCGUAAAGCGUGCGCAGGCGGUUUCUUAAGUCAGAUGUGAAAGCCCCGAGCUUAACCUGGGAACUGCGUUUGAAACUGGGAGACUUGAGUGUGGCAGAGGGGGGUGGAAUUCCACGUGUAGCAGUGAAAUGCGUAGAUAUAUGGAGGAACACCGAUGGCGAAGGCAGCCCCCUGGGUUAACACUGACGCUCAUGCACGAAAGCGUGGGGAGCAAACAGG
rnacentral:rRNA from 1 species